rnacentral:rRNA from 1 species
UCAAGUGAAUAAGUGCAUAUCGUGGAUGCCUUGGCGAUUACAGGCGAUGAAGGACGUUGUAGGCUGCGAUAAGCCUCGGGGAGCUGCCAAACAAGCUUUGAUCCGAGGAUUUCCGAAUGGGGAAACCCACCCGUAAGGGUAUCCCGUGCUGAAUACAUAGGCACGUGGAGGCGAACCCGGUGAACUGAAACAUCUAAGUAGCCGGAGGAAAAGAAAUCAACCGAGAUUCCGAAAGUAGUGGCGAGCGAAAUCGGACCAGUCUUGAAGUUUUAGCAUCUUAGUUAACAGAACGCUCUGGAAAGUGCGGCCGUAGUGGGUGAUAGCCCCGUAUGUAAAAACUCUGGUGUGGAACUAAGCUUCGAACAAGUAGGGCGGGACACGUGUAAUCCUGUCUGAACAUGGGGGGACCAUCCUCCAAGACUAAAUACUCGUAAUCGACCGAUAGCGAACAAGUACCGUGAGGGAAAGGCGAAAAGAACCCCGGGAGGGGAGUGAAAUAGAUCCUGAAACGAUAUGCAUACAAACAGUCGGAGCCCGCAAGGGUGACGGCGUACCUUUUGUAUAAUGGGUCAGCGACUUACGUUUAGUAGCAAGCUUAACCAAUAGGGAAGGCGUAGCGAAAGCGAGUCCGAACAGGGCGUUUAGUUGCUAGGCGUAGACCCGAAACCGGAUGAUCUACUCAUGGCCAGGUUGAAGGCACGGUAACACGUGCUGGAGGACCGAACCCACUAGUGUUGCAAAACUAGGGGAUGAGCUGUGGGUAGGGGUGAAAGGCUAAACAAAUCCGGAAAUAGCUGGUUCUCCCCGAAAACUAUUUAGGUAGUGCCUCGCGUAUUGCUCCAGGGGGUAGAGCACUGUCAUGGUUGGAGGGGUCAUUGCGACUUACUCCGCCAUAGCAAACUCCGAAUACCUGGAAGUAUUAGCGCGGGAGACAGAGCACUGGGUGCUAACGUCCAGACUCAAGAGGGAAACAACCCAGACCGCCAGCUAAGGUCCCCAAUAUUGACUAAGUGGGAAACGAAGUGGGAAGGCAUAGACAGUCAGGAGGUUGGCUUAGAAGCAGCCAUCCUUUAAAGAAAGCGUAAUAGCUCACUGAUCGAGUCGUCCUGCGCGGAAGAUGUAACGGGGCUAAGUCAAUAACCGAAGCUGCGGAUGCACAUUUAUGUGCGUGGUAGGGGAGCGUUCUGUACGCCUGUGAAGGUGACUCGUAAGGGUUGCUGGAGGUAUCAGAAGUGCGAAUGCUGACAUGAGUAGCGUUAAACGGAGUGAAAAGCUCCGUCGCCGAAAGCGCAAGGUUUCCUACGCAACGUUCAUCGGCGUAGGGUGAGUCGGCCCCUAAGGCGAGGGUGAAAACCGUAGCUGAUGGGAAGCAGGUUAAUAUUCCUGCACCAUUGUUUAAUGCGAUGGGGGGACGGAGAAGGUUAGUUCAGCCAGGUGUUGGAUGUCCUGGUUUAAGCAUGUAGCCGUGCCUGGUAGGCAAAUCCGCCGGGCUUAGGUGAGGUGUGAUGACGAGAGGGCUUGCCCUCGAAGUGAAUGAUACCCAGCUUCCAAGAAAAGCCUCUAAGCUUCAGUUAAACAAGACCGUACCGCAAACCGACACUGGUGCGCGUGCUGAAUAUGCUCAGGCGCUUGAGAGAACUCAGGAGAAGGAACUCGGCAAAUUGAUACCGUAACUUCGGGAGAAGGUAUGCCGCUAGUAGGUGAAGGAGUACAUCCGGAGCCCAACGCGGUCUCAGAGAAUCGGUGGCUGCGACUGUUUAUCAAAAACACAGCACUCUGCAAACACGAAAGUGGACGUAUAGGGUGUGACGCCUGCCCGGUGCCGGAAGGUUAAGUGAUGGGGUGCAAGCUCUUGAUCGAAGCCCCGGUAAACGGCGGCCGUAACUAUAACGGUCCUAAGGUAGCGAAAUUCCUUGUCGGGUAAGUUCCGACCUGCACGAAUGGCGUAACGAUGGCCACACUGUCUCCUCCUGAGACUCAGCGAAGUUGAAAUGUUUGUGAUGAUGCAAUCU